rnacentral:rRNA from 1 species
AUUGAACGCUGGCGGAAUGCUUUACACAUGCAAGUCGAACGGUAGAGGGGGCAACCCCUCGAGAGUGGCGAACGGGUGAGUAAUAUAUCGGAACGUGCCCAGUCGUGGGGGAUAACGUAGCGAAAGUUACGCUAAUACCGCAUACGAUCUACGGAUGAAAGCGGGGGAUCGCAAGACCUCGCGCGAUUGGAGCGGCCGAUAUCAGAUUAGGUUGUUGGUGAGGUAAAAGCUCACCAAGCCUGCAAUCUGUAGCUGGUCUGAGAGGACGACCAGCCACACUGGAACUGAGACACGGUCCAGACUCCUACGGGAGGCAGCAGUGGGGAAUUUUGGACAAUGGACGCAAGUCUGAUCCAGCAAUGCCGCGUGCAGGACGAAGGCCUUCGGGUUGUAAACUGCUUUUGUACGGAACGAAACGGUGAGCUCUAAUACAGUUUGCUAAUGACGGUACCGUAAGAAUAAGCACCGGCUAACUACGUGCCAGCCGCCGCGGUAA